UCAGCUUGUUGGUGAGGUAAUGGCUCACCAAGGCGACGACGGGUAGCCGGCCUGAGAGGGCGAUCGGCCACACUGGGACUGAGACACGGCCCAGACUCCUACGGGAGGCAGCAGUGGGGAAUAUUGCACAAUGGGCGAAAGCCUGAUGCAGCGACGCCGCGUGAGGGAUGAAGGCCUUCGGGUUGUAAACCUCUUUCAGCAGGGAAGAAGCGAAAGUGACGGUACCUGCAGAAGAAGCACCGGCUAACUACGUGCCAGCAGCCGCGGUAAUACGUAGGGUGCAAGCGUUGUCCGGAAUUAUUGGGCGUAAAGAGCUUGUAGGCGGUUUGUCGCGUCUGCUGUGAAAUUUCGGGGCUCAACCCCGAACUUGCAGUGGGUACGGGCAGACUAGAGUGUGGUAGGGGAGACUGGAAUUCCUGGUGUAGCGGUGAAAUGCGCAGAUAUCAGGAGGAACACCGAUGGCGAAGGCAGGUCUCUGGGCCACUACUGACGCUGAGAAGCGAAAGCAUGGGGAGCGAACAGGAUUAGAUACCCUGGUAGUCCAUGCCGUAAACGGUGGGAACUAGGUGUGGGCCUCAUUCCACCAGGUCCGUGCCGCAGCUAACGCAUUAAGUUCCCCGCCUGGGGAGUACGGCCGCAAGGCUAAAACUCAAAGGAAUUGACGG
rnacentral:rRNA from 1 species